rnacentral:sRNA from 1 species
GCUGGGUAUGGUGGUACAUGCCUGUAAUCCCAGCUAUUCAGGAGGCUGAGGCAGGAGGCUGAGGCAGGAAGAUCACAAGUUCAAGGCCAGCCUGGGCAACUUAGUGAGACCCUGUUUCAA